UCACACCCGUUCCCAUGCCGAACACGGAAGUUAAGCUCUUCAGCGCCGAUGGUAGUUGGGGGUUUCCCCCUGUGAGAGUAGGACGUUGCCAGGC
rnacentral:rRNA from 1 species